GGAGAGUGCGCCAGCGGCCUGGCACCCGGUUUCGAAAACCGGCAUGCGUCCACAAGACGGGGGAUCGACACCUCCACUCUCCGCCA
rnacentral:tRNA from 1 species